AGUGAACGCUGGCGGUAGGCCUAACACAUGCAAGUCGAGCGGCAGCACAGUAAGAGCUUGCUCUUACGGGUGGCGAGUGGCGGACGGGUGAGGAAUACAUCGGAAUCUACUUUUUCGUGGGGGAUAACGUAGGGAAACUUACGCUAAUACCGCAUACGACCUACGGGUGAAAGCAGGGGAUCUUCGGACCUUGCGCGAUUGAAUGAGCCGAUGUCGGAUUAGCUAGUUGGCGGGGUAAAGGCCCACCAAGGCGACGAUCCGUAGCUGGUCUGAGAGGAUGAUCGGCCACACUGGAACUGAGACACGGUCCAGACUCCUACGGGAGGCAGCAGUGGGGAAUACUGGACAAUGGGCGCAAGCCUGAUCCAGCCAUACCGCGUGGGUGAAGAAGGCCUUCGGGUUGUAAAGCCCUUUUGUUGGGAAAGAAAAGCAGCAGGUUAAUACCCCGCUGUUCUGACGGUACCCAAAGAAUAAGCACCGGCUAACUUCGUG
rnacentral:rRNA from 1 species